GAUGAACGCUAGCGGCAGGCUUAACACAUGCAAGUCGAGGGGUAGAAGUUGCUUGCAACUUUGAGACCGGCGCACGGGUGCGUAACGCGUAUGCAACCUACCUUUUACAGAGGGAUAGCCCAGAGAAAUUUGGAUUAAUACCUCAUAGUAUAUAACCUUCGCAUGUUGGUUAUAUUAAAGUUCCAACGGUAAAAGAUGGGCAUGCGUCCUAUUAGCUAGUUGGUGUGGUAACGGCACACCAAGGCGACGAUAGGUAGGGGUCCUGAGAGGGAGAUCCCCCACACUGGUACUGAGACACGGACCAGACUCCUACGGGAGGCAGCAGUGAGGAAUAUUGGACAAUGGGCGCAAGCCUGAUCCAGCCAUGCCGCGUGCAGGAAGAAGCAUCUAUGGUGUGUAAACUGCUUUUGUACAGGAAGAAACACCCCUUCGUGAAGGGACUUGACGGUACUGUAAGAAUAAGGAUCGGCUAACUCCGUGCCAGCAGCCGCGGUAACAC
rnacentral:rRNA from 1 species